rnacentral:rRNA from 1 species
AACGAACGCUGGCGGCAUGCCUAACACAUGCAAGUCGAACGAGACCUUCGGGUCUAGUGGCGCACGGGUGCGUAACGCGUGGGAACCUGCCCUUAGGUUCGGAAUAACUCCCCGAAAGGGGUGCUAAUACCGGAUAAUGUCUUCGGACCAAAGAUUUAUCGCCUUUGGAUGGGCCCGCGUUGGAUUAGCUAGUUGGUAGGGUAAAAGCCUACCAAGGCGACGAUCCAUAGCUGGUCUGAGAGGCUGAUCAGCCACACUGGGACUGGGACACGGCCCGGACUCCUGCGGGAGGCAGCAGUGGGUAAUAUUGGACAAUGGGCGGAAGCCUGAUGCAGCAAUGCCGGGUGAGUGAUGAAGGCCUUAGGGUUGUAAAGCUCUUUUACCCGGGAUGAUAAUGACAUUACCGGGAGAAUAAGCUCCGGCUAACUCCGUG